AUGAGGUUCUCCACUUUAAUGUUUGCGUGGGCUGCGGCGGUGCUGCUCGCCGUGGCCGCCAUCUCGGCGGUGGCGGACGCAUCGCCUCCGCCGUCCAAGUUUCUGAAGGUCGGGUUCUACAAGCACACGUGCCCGCAGGCCGAGGACAUCGUGCGCGAUGCCGUCCGCCGCGCCGUCGCCCGGAACCCCGGCUUCGCUCCUGGCCUCAUCCGCAUGCAUUUCCACGACUGCUUCGUCAGGGGUUGUGACGGCUCUUUGCUGAUCAACUCGACGCCGGGGAACAUCGCCGAGAAGGACUCGGUGGCGAAUAACCCUAGCAUGCGUGGCUUCGAGGUCAUCGACGACGCCAAGGCAGCCCUAGAGGCGAGCUGCCCGCGCACCGUCUCCUGUGCCGACGUGCUCGCCUUCGCGGCGCGCGACGGGGCAUACCUUGCCGGCGGCAUCAACUACCGUGUCCCAUCUGGCCGCCGUGAUGGCCGCAUGUCAAUUGCCGACGAGGUGCUCAACAACAACGUGCCGCCUCCAACUGAUGAGGUCGCGGAGCUCGUGGCCAGCUUCAAGCGCAAGGGACUCUCUGCAGAUGACAUGGUCACGCUCUCAGGUGCACACACCAUCGGUCGCUCUCACUGCUCCUCUUUCACGCAGCGUAUCCACAACUUUUCCGGCGAAGUCGGACGGACCGACCCGUCCAUUGACAAGUCCUACGCGGCGGAGCUUAGGCGACAAUGCCCUCCAUCGACGGACAACCCGAGCGACCUCACAACGGUGCCGCUGGACCCGAUCACACCCCGGGAGUUCGACAACCAGUACUUCAAGAACGUGCUGGCGCGCAAGGUGCCGCUCACCUCUGACCAAACGCUGCUCACUAGCCCCCAGACCGCCGGCAUCGUCGCGUUCCACGCCGCCGUGGAGAAGGCGUGGCGGGCCAAGUUCGCUGCCGCUAUGGUCAAGAUGGGCAAUGUCGAGGUGCUUACUGGUCACGAGGGGGAGAUAAGAGAGAAGUGCUUUGCCGUCAACCACCACUAG
rnacentral:rRNA from 1 species